GAUGAAGAACGUAGCGAAACGCGAUAAGUAAUGUGAAUUGCAGAAUUCAGUGAAUCAUCGAAUCUUUGAACGCACAUUGCGCCCGCCAGUAUUCUGGCGGGCAUGCCUGUUCGAGCGUCAUUUCAACCCUCAAGCACAGCUUGGUGUUGGGACUCGCGUUAAUUCGCGUUCCCCAAAUUGAUUGGCGGUCACGUCGAGCUUCCAUAGCGUAGUAGUAAAACCCUCGUUACUGGUAAUCGUCGCGGCCACGCCGUUAAACCCCAACUUCUGAAUGUUGACCUCGGAUCAGGUAGGAAUACCCGCUGAACUUAAGCAUAUCAAUAAGCGGAGGA
rnacentral:misc_RNA from 1 species